ensembl:lncRNA
UCAGAAGUGAACUGCAUUUAAUAUAGUCUCUUAACUGGCACCAGUUUCAGAACCAGGGAUGCAGAAAUCUUGAGUAAGUGUGCUACUGGCAGUUAGUAGGCAUCUAGUAGGAUUGUGUUAUUUAGUUAUUCUUGACACUUGUUGAGAUGACAAUUUCUUGGUGCUUUUACUGAGUGGUGCAAGUACUUUCCCAGAACAUGCUUGGAGAUUGAUCCUACCCCAAGCCCCUGUUCACCUGGACAAACCUAGGAUGUAGUAGGGAAACAAUUAAUUGAAUGCAAUUUAUAAGCAUCUUUCUUUAUCCUGGAGAUAACUGACUUACACACUGAAAUAUCUGCAGAAUUUGAGGGAAUCUCAGCACAUAGCAUUGUGGCAUCCAUGGUUUUCUGAGGGUGAUUCCUAAGAAAUCACUGGAACCAGAAGAUCCUGAAAUGUGGAGUCAAAAUGGGACAAGGUGAAAAACUGUCAAUCAGUUAAUAAGAAGGCGUAGUUGUGUACCCACCACCUUGCUUCCUCUCAGGUUCUGAUCCACUUCCUCAUCUUCUGAGGCCAUGUCAGAACUCAUUUGUGUAUGUGUAUUAGUAUGUUCUCAUAUAUCUGCUCUAGAGAGAAAGAUGGAUCAUGGAUAUCUGGGAUGAGCCAGACCUACUGAUCACUGAACUUCUGUUUCCUGUCAACACAAACUUCUUCACAAGCUGCACGUUACAAGACUGAGGCAGACUCUUUUAAUGAGCACUGACUGUUUUCUGGAGCACUAAACUGGCCAUAGUAACAUUAAUUGAUAUUACACCUAAGCUUAGUCAUAAGAGCACAUGUCAACUCACUUCACU